rnacentral:rRNA from 1 species
GACGAACGCUGGCGGCGUGCUUAACACAUGCAAGUCGAACGGAAAGGCCCUGCUUUUGUUGGGUGCUCGAGUGGCGAACGGGUGAGUAACACGUGAGUAACCUGUCCCUGUCUUUGGGAUAUCUUCUGGAAACUGGGGCUAUUACCGGAUAGGAGCUCCUGCUGCACGGUGGGGGUUGGAAAGUUUCGGCGGUUGGGGAUGGAAUGGCGGCUUAUCCGCUUGUUGGUGGGGUAGUGGCUUACCAAGGCUUUGACGGGUAGCCGGCCUGAGAGGGUGACCGGCGACAUUGGGACUGAGGUACGGCGCAGACGGCUACGGGAGGCAGCAGUGGGGAAUAUGGCACAGUGGGCGGAAGCCUGAUGCAGCAGCGCCGGGUGCGGGAUGACGGCCUUCGGGUUGUAAACCGCUUUCGCCUGUGACGAAGCGUGAGUGACGGUAACGGGUAAAGAAGCACCGGCUAACUACGUG